GGAGAGGAGAGUGGAAUUCCUAGUGUAGCGGUGAAAUGCGUAGAUAUUAGGAGGAACACCAGUUGCGAAGGCGGCUCUCUGGACUGUAACUGACGCUGAGGCACGAAAGCGUGGGGAGCAAACAGGAGUAGAUACCCUGGUAGUCCACGCUGUAAACGAUGAGUACUAGGUGUCGGGGGUUACCCCCCUCGGUGCCGCAGCUAACGCAUUAAGUACUCCGCCUGGGAAGUACGCUCGCAAGAGUGAAACUCAAAG
rnacentral:rRNA from 1 species